GUCCAGACUCCUACGGGAGGCAGCAGUGAGGAAUAUUGGUCAAUGGACGAGAGUCUGAACCAGCCAAGUAGCGUGAAGGAUGACUGCCCUAUGGGUUGUAAACUUCUUUUAUAAAGGAAUAAAACGAGGCACGUGUGCCUUUUUGCAUGUACUUUAUGAAUAAGGAUCGGCUAACUCCGUGCCAGCAGCCGCGGUAAUACGGAGGAUCCGAGCGUUAUCCGGAUUUAUUGGGUUUAAAGGGAGCGUAGAUGGGUUGUUAAGUCAGUUGUGACAGUUUGCGGCUCAACCGUAAAAUUGCAAUUGAUACUGGCAGUCUUGAGUACAGUUGAGGUAGGCGGAAUUCGUGGUGUAGCGGUGAAAUGCAUAGAUAUCACGAAGAACCCCGAUUGCGAAGGCAGCAUACCGGCUCCACACUGACGCUGAGGCACGAAAGCGUGGGUAUCGAACAGGAUUAGAUACCCGCGUA
rnacentral:rRNA from 1 species